UACGUAGGCAGCAAGCGUUGUUCGGAAUUACUGGGCGUAAAGAGUGUGUAGGCGGUGCUCUAAGUCUGUUGUGAAAUCUCCCGGCUUAACCGGGAGGGUGCGGCGGAAACUGGAGUGCUUGAGGGUGGGAGAGGUAAGCGGAAUUCCCCAAGUAGAGGUGAAAUUCGUAGAUAUGGGGAGGAACACCGGUGGCGAAGGCGGCCUUCUGGACAGUGACUGACGCUGAGACGCGAAAGCGUGGGGAGCAAACAGG
rnacentral:rRNA from 1 species